UACGUAGGGGGGCGAGCGUUGUCCGGAAUCAUUGGGCGUAAAGAGCGUGUAGGCGGCUUGGCAAGUCUGACGUGAAAGCCCGCGGCUCAACCGCGGAUUGUCGUUGGAAACUGCCUCGCUAGAGUCCGGAAGAGGAGAGCGGAAUUCCUGGUGUAGCGGUGGAAUGCGCAGAUAUCAGGAAGAACACCCGUGGCGAAGGCGGCUCUCGUGGGACGGUACUGACGCUGAGAGCGAAAGCGUGGGGAGCGAACAGGAU
rnacentral:rRNA from 1 species